GAUGAACGCUGGCGGCGUGCCUAAUACAUGCAAGUCGAGCGAACAGACGAGGAGCUUGCUCCUCUGACGUUAGCGGCGGACGGGUGAGUAACACGUGGAUAACCUACCUAUAAGACUGGGAUAACUUCGGGAAACCGGAGCUAAUACCGGAUAAUAUAUUGAACCGCAUGGUUCAAUAGUGAAAGACGGUUUUGCUGCCACUUAUAGAUGGAUCCGCGCCGCAUUAGCUAGUUGGUAAGGUAACGGCUUACCAAGGCAACGAUGCGUAGCCGACCUGAGAGGGUGAUCGGCCACACUGGAACUGAGACACGGUCCAGACUCCUACGGGAGGCAGCAGUAGGGAAUCUUCCGCAAUGGGCGAAAGCCUGACGGAGCAACGCCGCGUGAGUGAUGAAGGUCUUCGGAUCGUAAAACUCUGUUAUUGGGGAAGAACAAAUGUGUAAGUAACUAUGCACGUCUUGACGGUACCUAAUCAGAAAGCCACGGCUAACUACGUG
rnacentral:rRNA from 1 species